UAUAUAUACAUGAACACAAGACAGUCACUAUUUAAAAUAUAAUAUAAUAUUAUUGAGCAUCUGCUGUAAAAAAAAGAAUGUGAAAAAAAAAACAAACAAAAAAGGUAAAGAAAAGAAGGGAAUCAUUGACACUACGUUAUAUAACUUAUAUUAUUAUUAUGACAUACAAAUACUAGGUAACAAAUAUAAGAAUUAUAGUGUAAUAAUUAAUAUUAUUACAUUAAUUUAUACUUAAUACUAUUAAUAUUAUUUUCUUAAUAAUUUAAACUUUUUUUUUUUUUUUGCAUUUUGCUCUAGACGAUUUGUCUCAUAUCAAAACAUUAGGUCAAUUAUAGUAAUAAUAAUUAUUAAGCAAAAGGUUAUAUUUUAUAGUUAUAAAUCGACAGUUACACACCAAUGUUCUGAUG